rnacentral:rRNA from 1 species
GACGAACGCUGGCGGCGUGCUUAACGCAUGCAAGUCGAACGGGGUCCAACCAGUGGCAACACUGGGGAAGAUCUAGUGGCGAACGGGUGAGUAACACGUGAGGAACCUGCCCCGAUCUCUGGGAUAACAGCGGGAAACCGCUGCUAAUACCGGAUGCCCUCCUCUGAUCGCAUGGUCGGAAGAGGAAAGGAUUCUGGAUCGGGAGGGUCUCGCGGCCUAUCAGCUUGUUGGCGGGGUAACGGCCCACCAAGGCUCCGACGGGUAGCUGGUCUGAGAGGACGACCAGCACACUGGGACUGAGACACGGCCCAGACUCCUACGGGAGGCAGCAGUGGGGAAUCUUGCGCAAUGGGCGAAAGCCUGACGCAGCAACGCCGCGUGGGGGAUGAAGGCCCUCGGGUUGUAAACCCCUUUCAGCAGGAACGAAACUGACGGUACCUGCAGAAGAAGGUCCGGCCAACUACGUGCCAGCCGCCGCGGUAAAAC